rnacentral:rRNA from 1 species
GACAGAGGUGGCAAGCGUUGUUCGGAUUUACUGGGUGUAAAGGGCACGUAGGCGGUCCGGAAAGUCGGGUGUGAAAUCCUAUGGCUCAACCAUAGAACUGCACUCGAAACUCCCGGGCUAGAGGAUGGGAGAGGAAGAUGGAAUUCCCGGUGUAAGGGUGAAAUCUGUAGAUAUCGGGAGGAACACCAGUGGCGAAGGCGAUCUUCUGGCCCAUUUCUGACGCUCAGUGUGCGAAAGCAGGGGGAGCGAACGGG